UGUGUACGUAGAAGUGCGCGGGAGGAAUUUCUAAAAAAUCACGAAAAUAAAUAUAUGCUUUUGUAGCAGAAGAGUUAGGCGCAAAUACUUAUCACUCUUUAUUUUUACUCGCAAAUAUUUUAUAAACUACCUUAAAGAGCAACGUGCAAAGCUAACAAACAGGAGGCACAGAUAGAUACAUAUUUAUUUAUAUACAAACAUUGCAGUAAAAUGUACAGACAUUUAGACAGCUUGACAAACACCGCAAAAAAUAAGAUGAAACAAUAAAAAACGGUAACGAGGCGGCAAUGGCAAGUCAAACAUACCGCUGAGUAUGAGGGAGAAAUAAACUGAUAUUUUAUUUCAUGAUUAAAAUUCUUAGUAUGCUAUUCUUAACUUGGCCGUACGCCAUAUGAAAAUAUUCAUGCAUUUAUACAUAUGUAUAUGCCUAUGUAAAUAUGUGGAUGCUUGGAAAGAUGAUGUUACUCAGUUCAACGCAAAAUUCAUUUCAGCAAAGCAAAUGCAGCAAAGAAUUGCCGGCCGACCGAGCAUUUAAAUUUUAUUUGUUUUCAACACUCACCGUCAGCAUCGACUUCAUUUAUCAUGUCUUGCAGUUCGGCUUCUGUUGGAUUCUGUCC